rnacentral:rRNA from 1 species
GACGAACGCUGGCGGCGUGCUUAACACAUGCCAGUCGAACGGAAAGGCCCUGCUUUUGUGGGGUGCUCGAGUGGCGAACGGGUGAGUAACACGUGAGUAACCUGCCCUUGACUUUGGGAUAACUUCAGGAAACUGGGGCUAAUACCGGAUAGGAGCUCCUGCUGCAUGGUGGGGGUUGGAAAGUUUCGGCGGUAGGGGAUGGACUCGCGGCUUAUCAGCUUGUUGGUGGGGUAGUGGCUUACCAAGGCUUUGACGGGUAGCCGGCCUGAGAGGGUGACCGGCCACAUUGGGACUGAGAUACGGCCCAGACUCCUACGGGAGGCAGCAGUGGGGAAUAUUGCACAAUGGGCGGAAGCCUGAUGCAGCAACGCCGCGUGCGGGAUGACGGCCUUCGGGUUGUAAACCGCUUUCGCCUGUGACGAAGCGUGAGUGACGGUAAUGGGUAAAGAAGCACCGGCUAACUACGUG